rnacentral:lncRNA from 1 species
AUGAAAAUAAAAUAUUAUAAGAUUUCAAAAUACAUUGAAACACCAAAAUUUCAUUAUAAAAAAUGACCUCAAGUUUCAAAAUCAUCAAGAUGUAACGGUUCACGAAAAAUAAUUUUUUAGAAAUUCGGCAAAAUUGACACCAAUUUGUCGCAAUCCGUUCAAAAUAGUGAUUUAACUAAUAUGAUACCGGGGGUGGCUCUUUGAGAAUCUUUUUCAAACUAACACCUUAUAACUCCGAAAAUUCUAAAAUAUUCAAUUUUUUUCAACCUUUUCGGUUAUUCAAUUCAAUCUUCAUGUGGUAGCUUCACAUACUUGCCGGACGACCGGGGUUGUAGCUCUUUCCUACAUGUGGUGGUAGUUUUCACACUCCUUUUGGAUGUAACUCUUUCUACAUCUUUUAA